GGUGCAAUUUGCUAGCUAGAUACAGCCCACAGCAUUGCUGCUGGCCUGGGCCAAGAGAUGAGCAGCUUCUCAUUAUCUCUUUUCCCUGCUGGAAAUUAGUCAAUUAUGGACAAAUUCUGAGGAAAAAAAGGAAAAGUUAUUUGCUGGACUUUAUCGUCAGCCUUUUGAAAUGCACUGUCUGCUUUUGGUGAAUGACAGUAUUAUGAUUUGACGCCUUAAGUUUUAUUUCCUGCCUUUAAAGCAGAAUGGGCCAUUUUUUAACAGACUUCAAAAGAUCAUUGUACUGCAGAAUUAAAUGCUUUGCCUCAGGAAACGGCAUCAGAGACUCCAAAUUUCUCAGGUUGCUUCAUGAAAUUCAGAGAUUAGGAAGAGAGACCUGCAGGUUUUUAGCCUGGCAUGAAGAAAAAGCUUGUUUUUGUGAGAAGCAGAGAUGCUCUGGAGCCAGGCAGGCUGUAGGUGAAGACCACCUCCUUUCUUGCUGGCUGGUUCCUUUUCUGGUGGAACUCAGAAACAUUUGGCACUGAGGGACUGGAGCCACUUCCCAGGGGGAGCUUUCGCCAAAAAGAAUGUUGGGUCUCACCUGGAGCUUCUUUCUCUCCAGGCCAGAGGUACUCUGCCAUUGAGGCUGAGCCACGGCAGGUCCAGCUGAUCUAAAGAACCAUAGAAUUAUCAGAGAAUCAUAAAGAUUUGAAAAAAACCACAACAAAACACUAAGGUCAUGGAGUCCAACCGGCAACCCAUUCCCAUCGUCCCCACUGACCACAUCCCUCAGUGCCACAUCUCCAUGGUUCUCGAGCACCUCCAUGGACAGUGACUCCACCACCCCCCUGGGCAGCUGUGCCAACACACCUCUGCUCUUUCUGAGAAGAAAUUUUUCCUCACAUCCAAUCUGAACCUCCCCUGGUGCAACUCAAGACCAGCACUAUGAGCUGUUUUGAAGCCAGGCUGUCAUUUGUUCCCAACCACUUCUAUAGGCUGCUCAAGUGAGCUCAGAGAGUUUCCAAAGGUGAUGAAGAAGGCUUGUGUCUAACUUCAUUAGGCCUGGGAAAAGGACAAGUCUUCGCACAAGAUGACCUUUGCCAACAUGACCGCCUCAGAGAAGAAUGACCUUUGGCAGAGAAAAAUGACCUUUGGCAGACAAGAAGGUGAGAAAAACCAGGCUAACCUGAUGAACACAAGUUUGCUGAUGUGAAUUUCCUGCCUAAGCAUUACUAAAUGAAGGCACAGUGGGACUAUGUUGCCCCAGUCUUAGCCUCCAGUUUCUCUGUGUCUGUAUAUGGUGAGGAGGACCUUUUCUCCACCCUCACUAUUUAUUCUUUUGCUCCAUUUUUGUUUUUCAAUUAUCUGGCAUAGUCUGUGCUAAUUAUGCUCAGUUGCCUUCCCUUUCUUUGAGGACUGUUCCAGAUAGAAGGGAGAAAAAUGAUGCUGUAGUUAGUGAAAUGUUUUUGGCGUGAUUCUCUUUCUUUUCAAAGAAUGGGUUUGAAUGUCCCAUUUCUCUGAGCAGAGCUAUAAAUACAAAUAGAGAAAUAAUAUUAAAAAAAAAACAAAACAAAACAAAAAAACCCCAAACCC
ensembl:lncRNA